UACGGGGGGGGCAAGCGUUGUUCGGAAUUACUGGGCGUAAAGGGCUCGUAGGCGGCCAACUAAGUCGGAUGUGAAGUCCCCAGGCUCAACUUGGGAACUGCAUCCGAUACUGGAUGGCUUGAAUUCGGGAGAGGGAUGCAGAAUUCCAGGUGUAGCGGUGAAAUGCGUAGAUAUCUGGAGGAAUACCGGUGGCGAAGGCGGCAUCCUGGACCGGCAUUGACGCUGAUGAGCGAAAGCUAGGGGAGCAAACGGG
rnacentral:rRNA from 1 species